AACGAACGCUGGCGGCAGGCCUAACACAUGCAAGUCGAACGAAAGCUUUUAGCUUAAGUGGCGGACGGGUGAGUAAUACGUAAGAAUUUGCCUUUAGGAGGGGGAUAACAGCUGGAAACGGUUGCUAAUACCCCAUAUGCUUUUAAGUGAAAUGGGUUUCCGCCUAAAGAAAAGCUUACGGCUGAUUAGCUUGUUGGUAAGGUAAUGGCUUACCAAGGCGACAAUCAGUAUCUGGUUUGAGAGGAU
rnacentral:rRNA from 1 species